AUAGAAAAGAAGAUGUAGACGGCAGUUUAUCUCUUUCCAGCGAGUUGAGGAUGGUGGAAGCUCAAUAAGUAAGAUAAACCUGUAGAUCACUACGGAUUUGUAAGUUGGAAUUCAGUACAGCUUACCGGCGACUAACCGUUAUUAGAUGAAGGGAAAAAGAGUAUAUACUCUUUUUCUAAAUAAAGGUGGUACCACGAGCAAUUCGUCCUUUGC
rnacentral:ncRNA from 1 species